CCUACGGGGGGCUGCAGUGGGGAAUAUUGCACAAUGGGCGCAAGCAUGAUGCAGCGACGCCGCGUGAGGGAUGACGGCCUUCGGGUUGUAAACCUCUUUCAGAAGGGACGAAGCGAAAGUGACGGUACCUACAGAAGAAGGACCGGCCAACUACGUGCCAGCAGCCGCGGUAAUACGUAGGGUCCGAGCGUGGUCCGGAAUUACUGGGCGUAAAGAGCGCGUAGGUGGUUUGUCGCGUUGUUCGUGAAACCUCACAGCUUAACUGUGGGCGUGCGGGCGAUACGGGCAGACUAGAGUACUGCAGGGGAGACUGGAAUUCCUGGUGUAGCGGUGGAAUGCGCAGAUAUCAGGAGGAACGCCGGUGGCGAAGGCGGGUCUCUGGGCAGUAACUGACGCUGAGGAGCGAAAGCGUGGGUAGCGAACAGGAUUAGAUACCCUGGUAGUC
rnacentral:rRNA from 1 species